rnacentral:rRNA from 1 species
UACGUAGGGGGCAAGCGUUGACCGGAUUUAUUGGGCGUAAAGAGCGUGUAGGCGGCCAUGUAGGUCCGUUGUGAAAACUCGAGGCUCAACCUCGAGACGCCGAUGGAAACCAUGUGGCUAGAGUCCGGAAGAGGAGAGUGGAAUUCCUGGUGUAGCGGUGAAAUGCGCAGAUAUCAGGAAGAACACCCGUGGCUAAGGCGGCUCUCUAGUACGGUACUGACGCUGAGACGCGAAAGCGUGGGGAGCAAACAGG